rnacentral:rRNA from 1 species
CUACGGGUGGCACCAGUGAGGAAUAUUGCACAAUGGGGGGAACCCUGAUGCAGCAACGCCGCGUGGAGGAUGACGCAUUUCGGUGUGUAAACUCCUUUUAUAUGUCAAGAAAAUGACGGUAGCAUAUGAAUAAGCACCGGCUAACUCCGUGCCAGCAGCCGCGGUAAUACGGAGGGUGCAAGCGUUACUCGGAAUCACUGGGCGUAAAGGACGCGUAGGCGGGUUGGAAAGUCAGGUGUGAAAUCCUACAGCUUAACUGUAGAACUGCACUUAAAACUUCUAAUCUAGAGUAUGGGAGGGGGAGAUGGAGUUAGUGGUGUAGGGGUAAAAUCCGUAGAUAUCACUAGGAAUACCUAAAGCGAAGGCGAUCUCCUGGAACAUUACUGACGCUAAGGCGUGAAAGCGUGGGGAGCAAACAGGAUUAGAUACCCGAGUAGUC